UUUCCCACAAUGCGAGCAGCCAUGCAGCG
rnacentral:sRNA from 1 species